rnacentral:lncRNA from 1 species
GUGGCGCCACGACCUUACCACGUCAAUUAGCUGAUUAGACGGCGGUCUCCAACUCCGGCCUACAAUUCAUCGUGCAUCGGCCACCCUUCUCGCUCAACUACGCUCUGGGAACGUGCAGCACGUUACGAAGAUCGCGCUACGAUGGCGAGUUCUCCGAUGCGAUCCACUCGGUCCUUGGCAACACAACGACUAGCGGCUAGCUUAUAUAGGCCAUGGAGGGCAGAGUCCGCAUAUGCCCCCUCCAGCCAUCAGUAGCCACGGGCUAUCCUGCGCCCACCACCUGCCCUACCCCUCCCCUCCCCUCCCCUCCCUCCUGCCUUCGUCCUGCCCGAGCUGCCCGGCGCCUCUGUCCUCCUCCGGGCUCCACAGGCCUUGCCAGGCAUGGGGUUGGCCUUGUUGAAACCACCAGAUUUGUGCCUCCUAGACCCCAGUUCCUCGGCAACAAGGUAACCUCCGUGCCCCUGCUCCCUUUCCUGACUGCUGGUGAUGAGGAUGAUCCUAUCCGGUGCCUCCUCUGUGAACGCCUACUCCUGGGCCCCUGCAACUAAGAGCCUCCGCCGGAGUCGCCGCGGAGAAGCUGCUGCUCGCCGUCGCAGCCGAGGUAAACAUCCGUAACAAAAAAAUCAUUGCCAAGCCCCCCUCCCUCUUCAUUCAUUUUGUCGUUCUAGUCAGUUCUCUGAUUCGACUGCUGUAUAUUAUUUAUCUUUAAUUGGCUUUAUUUAUUUAUUUAUCCUACUGGCGCAAAGGCCUGCCUGCUUGCUUUGGGCCGUUCAGUGGGUGAGAUAUUGUUCUUUGUUUUGGACUCUUUUCGGAUGCGGAUAUGUGUUGGUGGGUUCAGGGUGUGGGUUUUCUAGCUGGGGUCCGGGAUUUCAGUUCCGCGGCGUCACAGCUGAUUCGCGACCUGACGUCCCCGCGCUCUAAAUCUUCACCCGAAAGGUGAUACACCAUGUAGGAACAGAGACAAACCUGUGCUCACCGCGACCUGACCACGUCAAUUAGGGAUCGGGCGGUGGUCUCCAACUCCGGCCCGUAAUUUGUCACACACCGACCACCCUUCUCGCUCAGCUAUGCUUCGAGAACGUGCAGCUACGAAGAUCGCACUCCCCCACUUUUCGUGGACUAAGUGCCGAUGAACAGCACCACCUCAAUCUCAAUUUAUUUCCUUUGUUCCUUAGGCAUUAAUUUGUACGAGAGAUUUCUUUUUCUGUGACAGUUUAGAGAGAAUUGAGUUCCUGACCUUAUGUUGUUUGGGCCAUUCUGAAGCGAUGGGAAAUGCUAGAUGUGAAGGCUCAAUCAGGGAUCUUGUUCCCUACCUAUAACCUGAAACACAACAUGCAAUGAACAAACUUUAUUUUUGAAAACAAUUAAGUUACCAUUUGCUGAGAUGUGUCGUGAUACUGAGAUGAGAUGUGUGUCGUGAUGCUGAGAUGAGAUGUGUAUUAGUGCUUAAAAGUGUCAGCUUUGAUCUACUCUGAUCUAAACUUGUUUCUUUAAUACUUGUGUGCCUACGAUAACAACUUUGUUUACCUCCUUUUUCUAUUUAAUUAAAAUAACGGUCUACUUUAGGUCUUUGUCCUGCAUAUGAAUUUGACUUGACCAAAACUCAGCAUGUUCAUGCUUAUAAUUAAUUGUGCUUCUUACAUAUUUCAAUUAUCAUGCUUAUUUGUUAUGUGUAAAUUGAAGUUUUGUGUUCUUGGUCUAACUAUUUUCUUAUAGUCUUGAAAAAUAACUCGUACCUUUCAUAAUGAAACUGUUGUUGAUUGGUUGAAUUUUCAGGUGGUAAUAUAUGCUGGAAGCCUAUUGCAUAACUUCAACCAUUGAUUCCGUUGAAGCUAAUGUCAUGGAAUAGAAUUCUCACCACUUUGUUGUAGCAAUACAUAAAUUUGAUGAAUGGAUUCAACUAGUGUCAUAGAAUGAUAGAAUGGACCCGAAAUCUAUAUUUUUUGUAUUGUCACAUUUUGUCUCGAUGAUCAUGGUGUUUGUCUUAGUUCUACAAAUGACUUGGGAUCUUGAUAUUUUCCUUUUUUCACCUACUACUAUGUUGCAAUUUUGUUUACCAGUGCCACCAUGCAAGUGCAGUAUAGCAACAGUGUGCUAGUAGUAUAUCUCAUUGUAAUACGGUAGCAAUGUCAACCCACGGUGCAGUCCACAAGCAGGACAAAUUAGCCAAAUAGGGGAGUUUGUAACACCCUAAAUCUGCGGUAUAAAAUUUUUUCUCUAAUAUCUACCAAAUUCAGGUGUUACUCCUUGUUUUACUCUCUAUAGAUUUCUUCUCUCUUCUUUUUAUUAGAGUUGUGUCUAGAAUUUGGGAGAUGAAUUAUUUCUUUACUAUAUCAAAACAUAUGGGGGGCAUGAAAUGUUGCAUCAUGCUGAGCCUAGAUUAUUGUUUUGUUUGAUGCACAUGUUUGGAAUGCAUGAAUUUGAAUUUGUGGCAUGUUUGAAUUUGAAUCCAAAAGAGAAUACAAAAGGAAAAGGAAUUAGGAAAUUCAGAAUAAAAGAAAAAGGCAAAUAAGCCCAGCCGCCCCCUUCCCUGGCCUUUCGGCCCACUCGACCUAGCCCCCGGGCGCGUCCGCGUCCACUCUCCGCUAGGUGGUCCCCCACCUAUCGGUGCCUCAUCCCGCCACCCACGCCCGCUCAUCUCUGUUACACCCGGUUUUGAAGCUAAACCGAAUGCGAAC